rnacentral:piRNA from 1 species
UGCAAUAAAUCUUGCUAAUGCUUACUC